UAGUUGCGAACGGCUGAGUAAUGGAUAGGAAUUUCCCCAAUGGUGUGGAAUACCUCAUCGAAAGAUGAGCUAAUACCGCAUAACAUCGAAAGAUAAAAGCGCUUAACUGCGCGCCGAUGGAUGAGCCUAUCUCCCAUCAGCUUGUUGGUAGGGUAAAAGCCUACCAAGGCUAUGACGGGUAGGGGGCGUGAGAGCGCGUUCCCCCAGAAUGGGACUGAGACACGGCCCAUACACCUACGGGUGGCAGCAACAGGGAAUCGUACACAAUGGACGAAAGUCUGAUGUCGCAAUGCCGCGUGGAGGAUGAAGGCCUUCGGGUCGUAAACUCCUUUUACAGUAAUAGAGAUGUUAUUGAGAAUAAGCACCUGCUAACUCUGUGCCAGCAGCAGCGGUAAUACAGAGGGUGCAAGCGUUAUCCGGAUUUAUUGGGCGUAAAGCGUUUCGUAGGUUUUUAGAUAAGUUAUGUUUCAAAGACCGCGGCUCAACCGCGGGAAGGGAUGUAAUACUAUCUGAAUUGAAAUAUGGUGGGGCUUCCGGAACUGAUGGUGUAGUAGUGAAAUACGUUGAUAUCAUCAGGAACUCCGAGGGCGAAGGCAGGAAGCUAACCAUUUUUUGACACUGAGGAACGACAGCUAGGGGAGCGAAAGGGAUUAGAGACCCCUGUAGUCCUAGCCGUAAACUAUGCUCGCUAGGGGUUCGUUUCGCUAAGAACAUGAGUUUUUACUUGUGUUUUUUGCGAAAUGAGCCCCGUAAGCUAACGCGUUAAACGAGCCGCCUGGGGAGUACGGCCGCAAGGCUAAAACUCAAAGGAAUUGACGGGGACCCGCACAACCAGUGGAGCAUGUGGUUUAAUUCGAGACGAAACGAAAGACCUCACCCAGCCUUGACAUAAUACCGUUUUAAGCACCUAGAAAUAGGAGCCUAUCUUUAGAAAUAUUGAUGGUACUACAGGUGUUGCAUGGCCGUCGUCAGCUCGUGCCGUAGGGUGUUCCCUUCAGUGGGGUAACGAGCGCAACCCUUGCCCUGAGUUGAAUAUUCUCAGGGGACUCUUUGAACUUGUUUCAGAGGGAAGUGAGGACGACGUCAGGUCAGCAUGGCCCUUAUAGCUGGGGCAACACACAUACUACAAUGGAGCCGACAGAGGGUUGCCAAGUCGCAAGACGGAGCUAAUCCCAUCAAACGGCUUCUCAGUGGGGAUUGGGGGCUGCAACUCGCCCCCAUGAACUUGGAAUUGGUAGUAAUCGCGAAUCAGCAUGUCGCGGUGAAUACGUUCUCGGGUCUUGUACACACCGCCCGUCAAGUGAGUAAAGUUGUAUAUACCUUAAAUCCCGUUGUACGGGAUCAA
rnacentral:rRNA from 1 species